CUGGCUUUGGAGGCUUUUGUGGAUUUGGAGGGCUAGAGCAUGGAGGCCUGAGACUUCUUCCUUUAGUUGAACACAUGAAUAUGAGUAAACGGACUUCCGGGUAAUCAUGGCUGCAAUCUAGACUCCACACGCUUCCUCUCCCCGGCACCAAACGAAAUACACUACAUCAAAGGAGCAUAAAAAUCACCUUUGGAGGAACAGAAGUACUCCCCAGUACUCCCCAGUACCCCACAGAGGCGAAGGAUUGCAUGGGAAUGGAAAAAUCUGGGACAAUAUGAGGAAUGCUAGAAUAGGUAUGUUUAAAUUAGUAGUAGUGUUGGGUAUAUAGAAGAAUUUAAGAUAAAGAAAACACUCAAUAUAUACUGGGUAGAAUUAUUUUAGUAAGGCUUUCAAUAUCUUAAUCUUUGAUGCACAUUGUUGUAUACAUAUUCUUUCCCUAAGGAAAAUAAAUUUUGAGAAGGGAUUCUUAAACUUUUUUGU
rnacentral:lncRNA from 1 species